CCGCGGGCGGACGGGCAGCGCCGGGGACCGCGCUCAGGGACCGCCUGGGCAGCCGUCGGGCCGGGGACUGCGGGGCCGGAGGGCCCGGGAGCGGCCAGCGAUGCCCCGCAGCUUCGCGCCGCUGCCGGAGCCUCCCCGUUCGUGUGCGCCCCGACCGACCCGCCGCCCGCGCCGCGGCUCGGCCGGCAGCCCCAUGGGGAACCGCGGGGUGCGAUGGCAGCUGGCUAUUGCUGCUUUGUUUUUAUGAAAAAAUACCUAAAUUCAGGCAGCACCAGUAGCCUCCCUCGCCCUGCACCACCCUGCCCGGAAUAAUUGGAUGGUCAGGCGACGGAAGAGGCUGCCCAGGGGAGGUGGAGCCACCAUACCUGGAGGUGUUUGAGGCAUCUGGAACUGGCAGUGGAUGAUAUUUAAUGGUUUAGGGGCUACAGUGGCAGUGCUGUGUGGACGCUUGGACUUGAUGAUCUUAAAGGUCUCUUCCAACCUUGAUGACUCUGUGAUUCUUGUUUUCCUACUGAUUUUGUACUUUCAGAACAGAUCAGGCCAAAUUUAUUUGGCAUAGCUCCUGCCUUUGACAAACUCACUGUUAACCCUGUGCCUUGCAAGGCCUUAAAUAAACGCAAAAAAAACCCAACACGCCCUUUUGAAACAAAAAAAUAGGUCCAGGCUUUUCUGAACAGGUAAAAAUAAACACAAAAGGUAUUGAACCAAAUGGAAGAAGCUUUAAACAGAAGAGAGUCAAUUUAGAGUGCCUGGCAAAGGCCCAGUGUUCAGCCACCUAUUUAUAUAACAAAGCCACUUUGUCCUUGUACAUAUUGUUUGAUUUUUAACAGUGAUAUCACUAAUAGAGCUGCAGGGCACAUGGAAUUCUGGGCAUGCCAUACGCACACACCAGCUCCCACAGUGAGCCUGCCUUUGAUGGUGGGCAGGAGAUGUAAUAAUUACCCAGAAUCACAGAAUAUCCUGACCUGGAAGGGACCCACGAGGAUCAUCGAGUUCAACUCCUGCACAGGACACCCCAACAAUCCCACCUUGUGCCUCAGAGCCUUAACCUAAUGAUGACUUGACCUGCAAGUCAGAAUACAUGAAAAUAUGCUGCAGCUGCAAACCCUGCUGUGAUUCCAGUUCUCCGAUGCAUUUCUUUAUGGUGGCCUUGACUUUUAAGAUUUUGUGCCAUCUGAGCACAAGCAAACCCCUAAACACACUGUGUAUGCCGUGGCAGCAACAGCCUGCUACAUUACAGGAGGAAUUUAUCAGUUGCUGUACAAACGCUGUAGUGUGCCAGAUCCUAACUGGAGUUAUAUUCACACGAGUGUCUCCCACAGCCUCACAGGAGACAGAAAAAAUAACUAAAAACGGCUGAGGUAGGAGGGGAGCCGAGCGUUGGUGAGUGCACUCUGCUCCUGGCUGCUCCCCUCAGGAACCGCCUCAGCCAGCACCCGCUCUACGGGGAGAGAUCUGACCGGGGCCUGAGCUUUUAUAUUUUUAAUACUGAGCCCUAUUUCUUCACAGCAACAAAACGCUAGAGCAAAGUAGAAGGAGUAUUACUGUUCCUGAAAAGGCGAAAAGCUGCCUCCCACGCCGGGACCGACACGAGACCACCACGGCCCGUCAGACCUUCCGCUUGACCUCCCGACGCCGCCUCAGCGCGCCCCGCCCGCUGCCUUCGCGCAGCCCCGCCCACCUUCGCGCGCAACCACACCCGCAUCAGCACGUGUCCCCGGAUUCCAAUUCUAUUGGGCGAGACGAGGAGGGCGGGGCUGGACGUUCUAUAAAGGAGAGCGCGGCGGAUUCUGGGCCUCUCUUUCGGCGUGGCUGGCGAGGGCUUGUGCGGCGACCGGCGGCCGGGACCGGCGGCCAAUAAAGCUGUGUUACCCAGAACGUGUCCGGCUGGUUCUUCCGCGCGUGCCUGCACUGCCUUUGACCCGGCGGUGCCCGCCUAGCGCCGCCGGCCAAGCAGCGGUGCUACAGCGAAGCGCUUGUUAAUAACUGGCGCUGCUCGGCCCGACCCGGGCGGCGCUUUUAAAAGCAAGUGACAUUGUUUGCGAGCUUGCGUCACCCUUCCGGGGAUACGGCGGCGGGGGGGCGCGCAUUGCUCCGGAUCCUGCUGCUUGCGCUUCCUGCAAGGAGGAGCCUGUUCCUGACGGGAGGGCGGUGUCGGGGCCAAAGCAGAGUCGGUUCCAUGCGACUCAAGCUAGCCGACGCCACGGCCGUAGUUUUAAGUAGUUCAGGAUUCAGUUGUAAAAAGGACUUAAAUGGUUAGAAAAGUCCUGGGAUUCCUGCCUAGCUUGUUGCAGGAGUAAAGCAGCUGGGUGAAUGAGCUUGGAGCAUCCAGGGCUGGGGGUCGUGUACAUAUAUGGUGCAAAACAAAAUGAGAAUUUGACUACCAUGACUAAGCUGCAGCAUUUUAAAGGGCCAUUCUUUCUUAGAUGUGUUAAUACCAGGAAGUACAGCAUUUUCUGUAAAUACAAAAGAUCUGAACAACAGGGAUGCCAGGAAUAGGGCAGAGUCUAGGCAGACUAAGGAAUAAUUAACCUCACAGAGACUCUUCAGGGUAGCAGAAGUGGAUGCAUGUCUGCUCUGUUCUGUAACUGGUGGUAAUCCUUUCAGUUUUGCCAGUUAUGCAAACGUUUUUAAAGCAUAGUUCUCAUAUGAAUACUAACUGCUUUGGUGAAGCUUAGUUUCAUGACAAUAAAACUUAAAUUUAGCUUUUCCUUUUAAAGCUCGGCAUUGGUUAACCCUGAAACUGUCAUAUGCCACAAUGACCAAGUACCUGUAUAUAAAAGUCCACAAGGCACAGGGCAUGCUCAUGUUAGGAAGCUGCCUUUCUGAAGUUUUUUAAACAACUUGCACUAGAUAGUGGCUAAAUGCUGUAGAAAUAAAAUUUACUGAUUUGUUCGA